CCUGCCUUUAGAAGGUGGCACGUCCGAAACCUAGGGACAGGAAGAUGGCUGUGUCUCAGGAUUUACUGGAACCCAGGGACUUAGAAGCCACCAAGAAUCUCUCUUCCUCCUUUCUGCUCAUCAUGCAACACUCUUCUCUGCUCAGCAAGCCACAGUAUCAGCAUCCACAUUGUAGGAACGAUGGCCACCCAGCAUCAGUGAUUCACAUCUAACAGCUGCCGCACCAGGGCUGGGUCAUAGAAAACAUUGUUGCCCAUGGAAACCAUGUGGAUGGAGGUGGAUGGCGGAAAAAGGUUCCCAGAAGAAAGGGGCUGCUUGUCUGACAAACAAGAGUGCCUGUUACCCCCAAGCAACAGGAAGAAUCUUCCUUGAGUGCCUUCCACACCUGCUGCACGUCAUCUUGCUGUUCUCCAUGUGAAACCGAAGUUGCGGCCAGAAACUUGAUCCGAGCCCCAUCAGGGGUGCCUGGCUGCCCAGGGUCCAGCUCACGGGAGUUGCUUUCUGCUCAGACAGCCAUGAGGGAUAUACCCGAGCAAGAUACAGCGUUUCACCAUGCACUGGAGCUAAGUAUAAAUUUUUGAGGAGGGACUGUGGUGAGUCUGCUGGGGAGAAGUCCCAGGCUGAGGCAGAUGGGCCAGGGAGGGGGCGGGCCCGGGAUGGGAGGCUAGCAGAGCUCUCUGUGGACCCCGUACACGGAUGGAGUGGAGGAGCCGUGGGACCAGCUCAGUAGAAGGGCUUCCAUUGCAAGCUCAGGAGGACAUGGAAAGGAAAGAAGGGGAUUAGGAUUGAGGAGACAGAGAGCUCUGAUGGACGCCGGCAGCCUGGCUCAGAGAGGCUAAGCCGGGAAGGACGAUGCCAGGAGAAAGGCUUGUUCGAGAUGCCCUGGGGCAGAGUCCAGGCGACACUCUCUAAAGUGGCAACUGGAAUGAUGGCCAAAGCCAAGGUUCUCCCUGAAGUUCAAAAGGUGGGAACCAGACUGGAGCCCAGCUGGGAAAAGACCCUGCUCCUCAAGGGACCUCGAAGACUGAGAGAAGAUGCAGGACUGGACGGCAGAAGAGGGAAAGGACGGGGGACCCAGGGGAAAGGCGAGAGGAGGACCUCAGAGAAGUGAGCCCCAGACCUGGCCGCCGAGAAAGCUCCAUGGGGGCCAGGGAUCGCGCGGGGCUUGUUUCGCGCUCGGUACAGUGCCCGGCACGUCGUAGGUGCUCAACGUACACCUGCUGAUCCAAGCGCGAGUGUGCUCUAAGAGGACACAUCAUACAGUUGAUGCCGGUGCCAAAUGCAUUUGGG